rnacentral:lncRNA from 1 species
UCCAGUUCUGGGAGCAGAGGGAGCAGAAUUUGGGGUCUCUCUCUCCCACAACUGGACUGGACAGGCCAGAGGAGAGCCCUGGGGGUGUCCCAAGGCUCAUAAAGGGCCGGUUAGAGUGGGUAAGAAGGGCCCCCCUUUGGCCCGACGCCUGGGGAGCCCCUUAAGAGGGGGCUACGGGUCGGGGGAGGGGUCACUAUCCCCCUAAGCCGGGGUUGGGCGGGAGGAAGUGCUGCCCCGAAGAGGGUUCAACGCGAACGAGACACUGGGUCGCGGGACAGGCACACUCACGGCGGCUCCGGGGCGGCGGCGUUACUUGGGGCCGGGGCUCGGACAGGCUCCGCUCCUCUCCCCCCGGCGGUGUCCCAGGCUCCGGCCUCCACUUCCGCCUUUCAGCCGCUCCGGAUCCGGAUCUCCACCUCAGACCCGCCCCUCAAUACUCCCAGGUGACUGACAGGGCGGAGAGACCAAUGGGAGGCCCUCUUGACCGAUUUACAGGCGACGCCUGUGGGGGGCACGGGCGAGGCGGGAGAGCGCGCGCGAGGGACGGCGGGACUUGUAGUUCAGAGAACUGGGAGGAGCCGGUGGCCGCCUGGGACUUAGGGUUAGGGUGGAGCCCGC